rnacentral:rRNA from 1 species
CGCGGCCUAUCAGCUUGUUGGUGGGGUAAUGGCCUACCAAGGCAACGACGGGUAGCUGGUCUGAGAGGAUGAUCAGCCACACUGGGACUGAGACACGGCCUAGACUCCUACGGGAGGCAGCAGUGGGGAAUCUUGCGCAAUGGGCGAAAGCCUGACGCAGCAACGCCGCGUGCGGGAUGAAGGCCUUCGGGCUGUAAACCGCUUUCAGCAGGAACGAAAAUGACGGUACCUGCAGAAGAAGGAGCGGCCAACUACGUGCCAGCAGCCGCGGUGACACGUAGGCUCCAAGCGUUGUCCGGAUUUAUUGGGCGUAAAGAGCUCGUAGGCGGUUGAGUAAGUCGGGUGUGAAAACUCUGGGCUUAACCCGGAGACGCCAUCCGAUACUGCUCUGACUUGAGUUCAGGAGGGGAGUGGGGAAUUCCUAGUGUAGCGGUGAAAUGCGCAGAUAUUAGGAGGAACACCGGUGGCGAAGGCGCCACUCUGGACUGAAACUGACGCUGAGGAGCGAAAGCAUGGGUAGCAAACAGGAUUAGAUACCCUGGUGGUCCAUGCCGUAAACGGUGGGCACUAGGUGUGGGUUCCAACUAACGGGAUCCGCGCCGUCGCUAACGCAUUAAGUGCCCCGCCUGGGGAGUACGG